AAAAGUUGCAAAAAAGUACACAAUUUAAAAUAAGACAAUAUUUCCAGAGUUUAUAAAUUAUACAUUAAAAUAAAGGGAACAAAACAAUGACAAACAUUUUUAAGUGUGAACGCGACCAUAAUUUAACGUCAACAGCUAACAGCAUCUGUGGCAACACACCAAUGACGUAUAGCUGUCAGCUGAAGAAGCAAAAAUAACAAAUAUGGCCGCAGUUCACGCAUAGCAAUCUUUUAUGGCAGAAAAGUCGAAAAAUAUUAACAAAGACAACAUUUAUUGGGACUACACUUGAAUAAUUUUAUGUGAAAGGGCGUUUGCUAACUGGGACAAAAACUAUGGUUCCUGAUCGGAGGAGGUAUAUUAUUCCAGCAACGGCUCGCUGAAUAGGAAUAACUGCCCCGGAAGGCUGCCGAUGCGUGCCUAGGAGUAAGAAGUCGAGUCUCAGACCGCCGGCCCCCUCGUGGCCUGCGUAUGGACAGCUUCUCGUAUAGAUAUAUGGGAGACUGAUACUUUAUCACUCCAAAGAGUAAAGAGGCAAGGUGAAGCUUACGGCGGUGGUGCAUUUUCAGCAUGUAGUGCUGAUUAAGGAAAGGUGACACAUGGGCCCGCAGUGGUAUAGAAAAACAAAAACGGGCACAAGCGUUUUGGACACGCUGUAUAAGUCGCUUGGUUUUAUAAAGGAGACGUGGUCCAAAUACAACAUCCAUGUAAUUUAAUUUCGACAAUACAAGUGACUCUACUAACCUAA
rnacentral:lncRNA from 1 species